rnacentral:rRNA from 1 species
UACGUAGGGCGCAAGCGUUGUCCGGAAUUAUUGGGCGUAAAGAGCUCGUAGGCGGCUUGUCACGUCGGGUGUGAAAGCCCGGGGCUUAACCCCGGGUCUGCAUUCGAUACGGGCUGGCUAGAGUGUGGUAGGGGAGAUCGGAAUUCCUGGUGUAGCGGUGAAAUGCGCAGAUAUCAGGAGGAACACCGGUGGCGAAGGCGGAUCUCUGGGCCAUUACUGAUGCUGAGGAGCGAAAGCGUGGGGAGCGAACAGG